GAUGAAGGAACGCAUCGAAAUGCGAUAAGUAAUGUGAAUUGCAGAAUUCAGUGAAUCAUCGAAUCUUUGAACGCAUCUUGCGCUCCUUGGUAUUCUGAGGAGCAUGCCUGUUUGAGUGUCAUUAAAUUCUCAACUACACUGACUUUGAAUUGGUGUGGCUUGGAUUUGGGGGGAAAAUUGUUGUGGGCUUUUUGUAUAGUCUGCUCCCCUGAAAUUGAUUAGCGGUACCUUUGUGGAACUGUCUACAGGUGUGAUAAUUAUCUACAUCUUAGACAUCUGCUGGAAUGCUGCUUUCUAAACCUUACUUGUAUUGACAAUCUUGACCUCAAAUCAGGUAGGACUACCCGCUGAACUUAAGCAUAUCAAUAAGCGGAGGA
rnacentral:misc_RNA from 1 species